GCCGUUUUCAAGUAAUAAGAAAUCUGUAUAGCUACAAAAAUAGCAAUGGAUCUACCAUUGGGUAACAAGUAAUAUUUUCUAGCCUUCAUAUUCUGCAAGCUUAUGAUCGAUCAAGAAUAAGAAUAGCAUAACAUAAAAAGAUAUCCUACAUAAAAGUAUCAAUACAGCGAAAAUAAGUCAAUUAUGUAGGUUUGAGUUCCAAGCUUC
rnacentral:misc_RNA from 1 species